CAAUAAGCGGAGGAAAGAAACUAACAAGGAUUCCCUUAGUAACGGCGAAGUGAAGCGGGAAGAAGCUCAAAUUUAAAAUCUGGCCGGGUUACCGGUCCGAGUUGUAGUUUAUAGAAGUGUUUUCGGCGGCAACCUGGGUACAAGUCCUUUGGAACAGGGCAUCAUAGAGGGUGAGAAUCCCGUCCAUGACCCAGUGGAUGCUGCUAUGUGAUACACUUUCAAAGAGUCGAGUUGUUUGGGAUUGCAGCUCAAAAUGGGUGGUAAAUUUCAUCUAAAGCUAAAUACAGGCGAGAGACCGAUAGCGAACAAGUACCGUGAGGGAAAGAUGAAAAGAACUUUGAAAAGAGAGUUAAACAGUGCGUGAAAUUGUUGAAAGGGAAACGUUUGGCACCAGUCAUGCGUUCAGGAAAUCAGUCUAUCGAGGUGGGGAGUGGCAGGAGUUUGGACCGCAAGGCCAACUUUUGUUGCAUUUCUAUUUGGAUGGAUGCACUUUUCUGUAUGCAGGUCAACAUCAGUUUUGUUCGCCGGACAAAACCCCAAGGGAAUGUGGCAGCUUUGGCUGUGUUAUAGCUCUGGGGCGAUACGGUGGACGAGACUGAGGCUUUCAGUGUGUGCUCUCGGGCAAGGCUGACCGGGUGCUAUGAGCCAGUACGGGGUACAAUACAUGUAUUUUGCUUCGUGUCUGGCUUGUACUCGCUCGAAUCAGCUCUUCCACGCUUAGGAUGUUGACAUAAUGGUUCUAAACGACCCGUCUUGAAACACGGACCAAGGAGUCUAACAUAUAUGCGAGUGUUUGGGUGGCAAACCCAUGCGCGUAAUGAAAGUGAACGUAGGUGCGAUCCGCAAGGUGCAGCAUCGACCGAUCUUGAUAUUUUUGGAUAGAUUUGAGUAAGAGCAUAUAUGCUGGGACCCGAAAGAUGGUGAACUAUGCCUGAAUAGGGUGAAGCCAGAGGAAACUCUGGUGGAGGCUCGUAGCGAUUUCUGACGUGCAAAUCGAUCGUCAAAUUUGGGUAUAGGGGCGAAAGACUAAUCGA
rnacentral:rRNA from 1 species